CCUACGGGUGGCAGCAGUGAGGAAUAUUGGUCAAUGGGCGCGAGCCUGAACCAGCCAAGUCGCGUGAGGGAGGACGGCCCUACGGGUUGUAAACCUCUUUUGCCGGGGAGCAACGGGCGUCACGUGUGGCGCCACUGAGAGUACCCGGAGAAAAAGCAUCGGCUAACUCCGUGCCAGCAGCCGCGGUAAUACGGAGGAUGCGAGCGUUAUCCGGAUUUAUUGGGUUUAAAGGGUGCGUAGGCGGAUCGUUAAGUCAGUGGUCAAAUUGAGGGGCUCAACCCCUUCCCGCCAUUGAAACUGGCGCACUUGAGUGGAAGAGAGGUAUGCGGAAUGCGUGGUGUAGCGGUGAAAUGCAUAGAUAUCAUGAAGAACUCCGGUCGCGAAGGCGAGUGUCCGGGGUGCAACUGACGCUGAGGCUCGAAAGUGCGGGUAUCAAACAGGAUUAGAUACCCCUGUAGUC
rnacentral:rRNA from 1 species